GAGUUUGAUCGUGCUCAGGAUGAACGCUGGCGGCGUGCUUAACACAUGCAAGUCGAACGAAGCGCCUUAUUUGGAUUUUCUUCGGAACUGAAGAUUUGGUGACUAGAGUGGCCGGACGGGUGAGUAACGCGUGGGUAACCUGCCCUGUACAGGGGGGUAACAAUCAGAAAUGACUGCUAAUACCGCAUAAGACCACAGCACCGCAUGGUGCAGGGGUAAAAACUCCGGUGGUACAGGAUGGACCCGCGUCUGAUUAGCUGGUUGGUGAGGUAACGGCUCACCAAGGCGACGAUCAGUAGCCGGCUUGAGAGAGUGAACGGCCACAUUGGGACUGAGACACGGCCCAAACUCCUACGGGAGGCAGCAGUGGGGAAUAUUGCACAAUGGGGGAAACCCUGAUGCAGCAACGCCGCGUGAGUGAAGAAGUAUUUCGGUAUGUAAAGCUCUAUCAGCAGGGAAGAAAGUGACGGUACCUGACUAAGAAGCCCCGGCUAACUACGUGCCAGCAGCCGCCGU
rnacentral:rRNA from 1 species